UACGGAGGGUGCAAGCGUUACUCGGAAUCACUGGGCGUAAAGGGCGCGUAGGCUGACUCUUAAGUCAGGUGUGAAAUCCAAUGGCUUAACCAUUGAACUGCACUUGAAACUGGGAGUCUAGAGUUCAGAAGGGGCAGAUGGAAUUAGUGGUGUAGGGGUAAAAUCCGUAGAUAUCACUAGGAAUAUCAAAAGCGAAGGCGAUCUGCUGGGAUGAUACUGACGCUGAGGCGCGAAAGCGUGGGGAGCAAAC
rnacentral:rRNA from 1 species